ensembl:lncRNA
CCGUUGCAGCAGGGGGUUCAAAUUGAUUGACGGACGUAGUUCCAGUAUACACCUGAACACUCCUGGACAGACCAGUGUUCUGUGGCUGCAGUGCAGAGUCUGCUGACGGUGUCUCUGCUUAUCGGCGGCGUCAGGGUCGGACAUCCGAGGUGAACAUAAGGUGAAGACAGCAGAGGAAGCAGCAACUUUGGCUGAUGACUAUGUGCUGACACAUCUUGGUGACUACAGAGCUCAGGACAGUGGUAAAAAUAAAUAUCAGUCAGCAGGUAAGACUGGAACAGACAGAUUUGUGUGGAGUCAGGCACAGGGAAACUCCUGUAACUACUGAAGAGGCAGAGGCCACUGGAAAGCUGAAUGUCCAGUAAAAGGUAGUUGUGAAGGUGGGCAGGUGGAGCCUGUUGUGCUCGCUGCUACUGGCAGGAGGUUUACUGGUGUCCUCUGUCCUGGUGUCUGUUCUCACAGAUUUAAGGGGGAAUCUGCAGUGGACUAUGGUAGGUUACAGUCUGAUUUCUCAGCCUUUCUGUCUAAUGGUUAUGUGCCCUGGUAGGUAGUAAUGGUAAGGUACCAGUAAGAAUUCUGAGAGAUAGUGGAGCAAGCUGCACAUUGAUUGUGAGUUCUGUGCUGCCGUUCUCUCAGUUCACGGCUACUGGUGAAAAGGUUCAGAUGAAG